rnacentral:ncRNA from 2 species
UAUUCCGAGGAGCGUUGCAGUGCUACCUGGCGUUUGUGAGGGAGGACGAGGCUCGGAUCGGUCCGACGAAAGACUUUCCAACGACGCUCGCCCGCU